UUGAAACUUGAACAAGGUGCUAAUCUGCACGUCACAGUACAUCAUUCUCCCCCUUCUUAGUGCUCGACCACUAUUUUAAGCAUCAUAAUGAUACAGCAGAAGAGCAAUUCAUCAUUUUGCAGGCAGGACUUAGAUGGUACUUUAGGGAAGGUGACCGGCGGCUGCCCAGCGGGUACCGGGCACUGAGGUGCCCAAAAAGCAAUUACAGGGUGACACUAUGAUGGAGAUCCAAGGCGCCGAGCUUAGUUCUCCUUCAGGAAAACGCGAACCGGUUGACCGUCCGAGAGACGUAGAAGCGGGACCGGUCCCCGAAAAUAGAGCGUUGCCUCCUUCGGUUCAUUUCACAUCGGUUUCUCCCUGAGCCCGCCUGCAACUUACCGGGCGGAUGUUUUUAUUUUUCAGGCGGCCACAGACCGCGAGCCCGCUGAAUGAAUGCAUUCGUCAGGAAGGCGGUUUCUGCGUCUUCACGCCCGGUACCAGCAAAGGACGUCCCUGUUGCAACACGCUAAGGAACCCGCUGUGAUGAAUUGAAGGUUGUACGGUUAUAUCUCAGAGCCUCCAGGCAACAGAGAAAAGCCACCGUGUUGUAAUUGUCUUGCUCCACUCUCCAUCUUUUCCAUGUAUUAUUUUUCUUCACAGUUGGAAGCCUUUAUGUCUAAUUUUAUUUAUUUAUUUAUUUAUAUUUGGAACAGCCAAUUAAUGCCGGCAUUGGUCCUCUUUCAACACACAUAGCAACUAAAAUGUUUCUGCACACAUUUUUCAAGCUAUGGAUUCCAUCAGACCACUCCUAGAUGACAGCAUUAUUCACUGCCAGCACUGUAAAUGUCAAUGUAUAAAUUACCCAAACAGUCACCCCAGCACAGGCAGUCAAACCCAGGUGCCCCCUCUAGAAAAACCUUUUUCUGGCAGACUUACCCCCCCCCCCCCCCCCAGCAUCCCUCAUGACAUUUUAUUGACUUUCAGUCUGUUUCUUCAACACACCAGGUAUACCUUGAUAGUGCCAAAUGACAGUUAAUAAAAAGAGACAAUGGAUGUUAUGUGUUCACACCCAAGGCAAUGGAAGGCAUUGAUCCCUCCGAAAGUAACUUUUCAUUUAUCCAGCAGGUGCUUUUAUCCAAAGUGACGUCCUUUUUUUGAGAGAGUAGGGUCAGCAAGUCCCUUGAGCAACUGGGGCUAAGGGCCCGGAUCAAGGGCCCAAUGGGUGACAUCACUCAGCCCACUUCACGGUUUGAACUAGGAUAGCAUGUUUGCUGUGGGCAAAUAUAAAUCAGGGAGAAAUAUACAUGAAUAAUGAUUAAAGUACCACCAUUGUGUUCUGUCAACAAUGACAUGGGCUUUCCUGUGAUAUGGCUAAUCCAACAGCCAAUCUAACACACCUCUUUACUCUAUCGGACACACUGCCCCUUGAGCAGAGCAGUUCAGUGUACUAAUUACUCUACAACGGUCAUAAUAUCUUUCCUUUUCUCACACAUCUGUCUCCCAAUCUGAAUUUCCUGCGGUUACUGUAACUAUAGCAGCCAGCCUCUCUGUUACUGCAUUUGACUGGCCAGCAGAUCAUCUUGGCUUUUCUCAUAGGCCUGGAUCAGCUCAGUGCUGAACCCUAUUCUCCUGGCUGAAUUAACCUGCCCUCACCACGUCUCAGUCUGUGCCUUGAAGCCCGACAACCAGGGUACCCUGCAUUUUACUAGGAACCACAGUACACUUCAUUCAGAAUUCACCCUCUUGUCAAUCUCAUUACCAAUUCAUGCACUGUUCUUUCCUCCUGAUAGUCUCUGUUGGUGUUUUUCCACUGGCAUACAGGAGCUGACCCAUACCCGAGAUGUACUGCAAAGAGAGACAGUUCCAGCUCGCUUUGGUAUUUCACUGCAGACUCUACACCCAGUGAACCCGCACCUGGACUCCUGGAGAUAACAACAUGAAAGCAGCUGGGGCUUUAUAAUUAUGUGAACUCUAAUGAAUCUCAGUAUAAAUGCAGUUUCAUGCUCCCCGGUUGCCCAGAGGAGGAUGGGGUCCCCUUCCGAGUCUAGGUUCCUCUCAAGGUUUCUUCCUGCUAGAGGGAGUUUUUCCUUGCCACUGUCGCCUCAGGCUUGCUUGGUGGGGUUCUGGCCGGUUAAAUGUAAAGUGCUUUGUGACAAUGGCUGUUGUUGAAAGCGCUAUAUAAAUAAAAUUGAAUCGCGUCAGCGCAGGCACAGCUCCCGCAAAGUUCACAUAAUUUACAAAGGGAAAUCGUCAAUUCACAGUGCAGCUCGGUUCUUGGUGGCAGUGGAAAAGCACCAUUUCUCUCACAAUCAAACCGACCCACUGUCUGUUCUCUUCUUCACAGUCCUCGCCUCACUUCUGCUCACUGACCAUCAUUCACAGGCCCUCACGACUUUUCUGAAGUACCUGGCUUUUAGGUUCGCCAGAUGCCAGCACAAUGUGCAUCAGGACAACAAUGCUUCAAAUUCAAGAAAACCGGGAUUGUGACCGACGAGAGUGUCCUGGCUUCAUUCCAUUUAGCCGUUUCUUACAUCAAGGUUUUAACUCUUCCUUCACCACUGGCUCCUUUCAAAUUGGUGCAAGCCACCCUUCCUCAGAAGACGUUGACCCUCAGACAACUGACGAUUGCUGUAUGCUGUCCUGACAUGGCCAUCACCUCCUACGUCAGUUCCCAAUCAGUGGGAGAGUGUGAUUAUCCACUUCCCAACCAUCCCAGUUCAUUAGCUACCAGUUCACCAUAACUCCUGGAAUUUGUACCAAAACUGCAAACAGAUUCUCCAUAUCUACAAGAUCUCACCAAGACCGACAUAAAAGCAUGUCAUCUGACAGUUUCAGGCCUGAAAAGUUGGAAAUAAAAGUCCCAUCUGUUUUCUUCCCCGGAGCUUGGCGACUGCAGGAUCGGUCUCACACUUCAAGAAGGGGCAGAGAAGUCACCUUCCAGGACGCACUUCAGCGCGUAACUCCAGAGGGCACUCCAAUCGCGUCUACUGGCUUCUCUCCGCCACAUUUUUCCUAAGAUGUGUAUGUUUGUGUAUCUUCUGCUUCUGGUGUUUUCUUAAAUUUUAUGUUACUUGUUUUGGGGUAAAAUUAUCAUAAAAAUCUUUCCUGAUCAUGAAAACAAUUCUGUUUUAAUGAAAUAUAAUGCAGUUAACACAUUUUAAAUUCUACGAUGCAUAAAGUUCUGCUAGUUCCAGAUAUAAAUACUCCAUUCCUGUGAUAUCAGCACCAUCCAGCUGACCCAACAUUAUAUUCAUUAAUACUGCAAUAAUGCAUUUACCUCAGUAGGGUAUGGCCUCUGUCUCUGUGUCUAUAGAAGCUUGAUCUGAAUACUCUGGCUCUUAGAAUCUCGUAUCACCUGGACCAAGGCCCUUAACCCUAACUGCUCCAGGGGUCCUGGAUGUUGGCAGACCCUAUGCUGUGACCCCGAGUGACCACACUCUGUGCUGAAUAAAUAUAUGUACACUUCUGGUUUC